CUGUCUGCGUGGUGGUCUGUGAGCAUGCGCACACCUUUCCAAUCAAUCAGUUUACACAAAAUUAGCAUACGGCCCAACGCCCAACCAACGGUCACGUCACGACGACUCGAACAACUCCCAAAACAGUGGAAACAUGGGAAAUAUUCUGCACAUUGGCAUGGAAAAGUGAUCCAAUUGGGAAAGUUGAUGGCCACAAAAAUGUUCCAAAGGCUUCCAGGAUACAAGCAAAAAAAGGAACAACAAUGCACCUUUCAACCUCCUCCGCGCUCUGACAAGACAAUGAAAAGUGAAAUUGUCUCGAUAGAUAUUUCGUUUUGUAUUUGGAGGUGGGGAAUGGGUAUGGGAAUCAAUGAAAGUCACAGCCAAAGUGCAGAGGGAGUCGAUGCUCGCAUGUUCGCAUAAUCAUGCCAAAAACGGCAACAAAAGACCAAUGAAAAAGUGGCAAAACACAACGACACAAAAAGCCAGCCGAAAUGGAGAAAGGCAAAGGCAGACUCUCAACAUUGAAGGCCCCAAGAGCUGAGGAGGAGCUGAGGAGGAGCCACCAGCCCGUGCGAGUCUCAAAGCAUCACCUGCACAGAUCUGUGGUGGCACAGAUCUGAAGGACGUUUGCCCAAAAGGCAGGCAACUUUCACCAUUCGAGACCCCAACGACAGAGCCAGCCAGCCAGCCA
rnacentral:sRNA from 1 species